CUGACCUUACAGCUGUGAGCAACCCGGAGGUCAUGGAGCAACUGAAUCCAAGCGCCUGAGCAACAAACACUCCAGCCUGAACACAGUUCAUGGAGACAUUCAGCUCUGGAUCAAGGAGCCGUGUCACCACAUGCUCCUCCAUCAACUGGGAAUCCACUGAUUAUUCA